GUGGGGAAUCUUGCGCAAUGGGCGAAAGCCUGACGCAGCCAUGCCGCGUGAAUGAUGAAGGUCUUAGGAUUGUAAAAUUCUUUCACCGGGGACGAUAAUGACGGUACCCAGAGAAGAAGCUCCGGCUAACUUCGUGCCAGCAGCCGCGGUAAUACGAAGGGGGCUAGCGUUGCUCGGAAUUACUGGGCGUAAAGGGCGCGUAGGCGGACAGCUUAGUCAGAGGUGAAAGCCCAGGGCUCAACCUUGGAAUUGCCUUUGAUACUGGCUGUCUUGAGUUUGGGAGAGGUGAGUGGAACUCCGAGUGUAGAGGUGAAAUUCGUAGAUAUUCGGAAGAACACCAGUGGCGAAGGCGACUGACUGGACAAGUAUUGACGCUGAGGUGCGAAAGCGUGGGGAGCAAACAGGAUUAGAUACCCGAGUAGUCC
rnacentral:rRNA from 1 species